AGUGAACGCUGGCGGUAGGCCUAACACAUGCAAGUCGAACGGCAGCACAGUAAGAGCUUGCUCUUACGGGUGGCGAGUGGCGGUCGGGUGAGGAAUACAUCGGAAUCUACUUUUUCGUGGGGGAUAACGUAGGGAAACUUACGCUAAUACCGCAUACGACCUACGGGUGAAAGCAGGGGAUCUUCGGACCUUGCGCGAUUGAAUGAGCCGAUGUCGGAUUAGCUAGUUGGCGGGGUAAAGGCCCACCAAGGCGACGAUCCGUAGCUGGUCUGAGAGGAUGAUCGGCCACACUGGAACGUGGACACGGUCCAGACUCCUACGGGAGGCAGCAGUGGGGAAUAUUGGGCAGUGGGCGCAAGCCUGAUCCAGCCAUACCGCGUGGGUGGAGAAGGCCUUCGGGUUGUAAAGCCCUUUUGUUGGGAAAGAAAAGCAGCAGGUUAAUACCCCGCUGUUCUGACGGUACCCAAAGAAUAAGCACCGGCUAACUUCGUG
rnacentral:rRNA from 1 species